CGACGCGAGCACUUGUGCUCGAGUGGCGAACGGGUGAGUAAUACAUAAGUAACCUGCCCUAGACAGGGGGAUAACUAUUGGAAACGAUAGCUAAGACCGCAUAGGUACGGACACUGCAUGGUGACCGUAUUAAAAGUGCCUCAAAGCACUGGUAGAGGAUGGACUUAUGGCGCAUUAGCUGGUUGGCGGGGUAACGGCCCACCAAGGCGACGAUGCGUAGCCGACCUGAGAGGGUGACCGGCCACACUGGGACUGAGACACGGCCCAGACUCCUACGGGAGGCAGCAGUAGGGAAUUUUCGGCAAUGGGGGAAACCCUGACCGAGCAACGCCGCGUGAAGGAAGAAGGUUUUCGGAUUGUAAACUUCUGUUAUAAAGGAAGAACGGCGGCUACAGGAAAUGGUAGCCGAGUGACGGUACUUUAUUAGAAAGCCACGGCUAACUACGUGCCAGCAGCCGCGGUAAUACGUAGGUGGCAAGCGUUAUCCGGAAUUAUUGGGCGUAAAGAGGGAGCAGGCGGCAGCAAGGGUCUGUGGUGAAAGCCUGAAGCUUAACUUCAGUAAGCCAUAGAAACCAGGCAGCUAGAGUGCAGGAGAGGAUCGUGGAAUUCCAUGUGUAGCGGUGAAAUGCGUAGAUAUAUGGAGGAACACCAGUGGCGAAGGCGACGAUCUGGCCUGCAACUGACGCUCAGUCCCGAAAGCGUGGGGAGCGAAUAGGAUUAGAUACCCUAGUAGUCCACGCCGUAAACGAUGAGUACUAAGUGUUGGAUGUCAAAGUUCAGUGCUGCAGUUAACGCAAUAAGUACUCCGCCUGAGUAGUACGUUCGCAAGAAUGAAACUCAAAGGAAUUGACGGGGGCCCGCACAAGCGGUGGAGCAUGUGGUUUAAUUCGAAAGCACGCGAAGAACCUUACCAGGUCUUGACAUACUCAUAAAGGC
rnacentral:rRNA from 1 species